rnacentral:rRNA from 1 species
GAUGAACGCUAGCGGCAAGCUUAAUACAUGCAAGUCGAGGGGCAGCAUGACUGUAGCAAUACAGUUGAUGGCGACCGGCAAGCGGGUGCGGAACACGUACAGAACCUUCCUUCGAGCGGGGAAUAGCCCAGAGAAAUUUGGAUUAAUACCCCAUAGGUAUAUUGGAGUGGCAUCACUUUGAUAUUAAAGAUUUAUCACUUGAAGAUGGCUGUGCGGCUGAUUAGAUAGUUGGCGGGGUAACGGCCCACCAAGUCUGCGAUCAGUAACUGGUGUGAGAGCACGACCAGUCACACGGGCACUGAGACACGGGCCCCGAUCCCUACGGGGAGGCAGCAGUAGGGAAUAUUGGUCAAUGGACGAAAGUCUGAACCAGCUAUGCCGCGUGGAGGAUGAAGGCCCUCUGGGUUGUAAACGUUCUUUAUA